UACGGAGGGUGCGAGCGUUGUCCGGAAUCACUGGGCGUAAAGGGCGCGUAGGCGGCUUCUCAAGCGUGUGGUGAAAGUCCGGGGCUCAACCCCGGAUCGGCCGUGCGGACUGGGGAGCUCGAGUUCUGUAGAGGCGGGUGGAAUUCCGGGUGUAGCGGUGAAAUGCGCAGAUAUCAGGAGGAACACCAAUUGCGAAGGCAGCUCGCUGGGACGUUACUGACGCUGAGACGCGAAAGCGUGGGGAGCAAACAGG
rnacentral:rRNA from 1 species